UACGUAGGCAGCAAGCGUUGUUCGGAAUUACUGGGCGUAAAGAGUGUGUAGGCGGUGCUCUAAGUUCGUUGUGAAAUCUCCCGGCUUAACUGGGAGGGUGCGGCGGAAACUGGAGUGCUUGAGCGCGGGAGAGGAAAGCGGAAUUCCUGGUGUAGCGGUGAAAUGCGUAGAUAUCAGGAGGAACACCUGUGGUGUAGGCGGCUUUCUGGACCGUAGCUGACGCUGAGACACGAAAGCGUGGGUAGCAAACAGG
rnacentral:rRNA from 1 species